ensembl:snoRNA
GUUGGGGUCUAUCCCAAUGGGGCUUUUUCUGUAGACCUACAUCGCUGGAAAUGCCUCAUAGAUUAAAUACGUGCCUUCCUUCACUCACAGAACUAUGUGUUAAAUCUGUGGGAAGGAACUACAUGACAGCU